UGGGGAAUAUUGGACAAUGGGCGCAAGCCUGAUCCAGCCAUGCCGCGUGUGUGAAGAAGGCCUUUUGGUUGUAAAGCACUUUAAGCGAGGAGGAGGCUACUUGGAUUAAUACUCUAGGAUAGUGGACGCUACUCGCAGAAUAAGCACCGGCUAACUCUGUGCCAGCAGCCGCGGUAAUACAGAGGGUGCGAGCGUUAAUCGGAUUUACUGGGCGUAAAGCGUUCGUAGGCGGCUUCUUAAGUCGGAUGUGAAAUCCCUGAGCUUAACUUAGGAAUUGCAUUCGAUACUGGGAAGCUAGAGUAUGGGAGAGGAUGGUAGAAUUCCAGGUGUAGCGGUGAAGUGCAUAGAGAUAUGGAGGAAUACCGAUGGCGAAGGCAGCCAUCUGGCCUAAUACUGACGCUGAGGUACGAAAGCAUGGGGAGCAAACAGG
rnacentral:rRNA from 1 species